GCCCCAGCCUCUCCUCCCUCUCGUUUCCAGUCACCAGAACCAAAUCCAGACACCAACGCUCGUGCGGGAGAGAGAGAGAGAGCCGAGGUCAGAGUGCAUCUACCAACGCCGGCCCCGUCCGCGCCUGGAGCUCGGGAGUUCACGACGGGUUAGCGUACUUCGUGAGGUUGCUGGUGAAGCGCUUGUGGCCGAUUGGGGAGGAAUAAACCACUGUGUCGACCAGAAUUCGUCGUCGGUCGCCGGAUUCCGCCACGCACUGUGGGUGGGUCUGGGCGCCCUUCGGAUCUCGGUGAGCAUCUCCCGUAGUGAUACCCCACAAUUACCGCUGUUUGGUACUGCUUUCGGAUAAGAGUUUAGGCAUGAGGAUCGGAGAUUCGGGAGUUCCGGCCAUGGCGCCGCCGUGGUUCACUGGGUUGCGCCGUUGGCGUGUUCCCAGGGGGAAGAAAGGGUCUGGGCCGUCCAUCUGUUGAUCGACGGCUAGAUUAGAAUUAGGCGUACCCCUUUCCCGGCGUGUGAUCCAUGCCAUCGAUUCAUCCGCGGGCGGCUACGAUUUCAUCGCGCCAUCAUCGAUUCUGGAUCAUUGGAUCGGGAUCCAGUGACCCCGAUUUCAUAUCGAUUCACGCCGCUCUAAUCCUGGUCGUUCGUACUUGAUCAGACGACCGAGAUCUAUUAAUACCGUUUUGUGUAGGUAAUUUUGCGUAAGAGUUCCUCGGAAAUCAUAGAUUCAACACGCGGUACGUUGCAGAGGUAAACUGAGUCUUAGGAUUUUUCAUGUAAUAACCCUUGCACUUCGCAGUAUUUGUGCAUGUAGUACAGAGAAACAAAAUACUAAAUAAAUUCAAUUAGAAAAUAUGUAAAAAUAAUUGCAGGAACAUAAUUAAUUCCUAGAAAAAAUCAUUUUAACUCCUUUUUGACCCAUUCCAAUUUCUAUAAUUUGGUAUUAAUAUUGUUUACCAUAUAGUGUCUCCGUUUUAGCAUGAAACCUAUAUUAAAAUUUGUAACUUUCGUACGUGUUGGGGGCCUUCGGCUUCCGAAGGUCCUCAAAAACAUGAUUUAACAAUGUUUCUGGAGUAUAAUACAUGAGCAGGUACCUUCGAACUUGGACCUUUCGGACUUGAGUCAAAAUCACAGUGUGAAGAAGCACAAGGGAUAUGAAGGAUGGAACGAAGCCGAAGCUGUGCGCAAGGGAGCUUCGGCGUGAUAACAGAAAAAGAAACCGACUUAAAGGGGAAAAUGCUAUCUAGACCCCGAUGAAUUACUGUAGAAUUAUUAGCAAAUGUAAAGGGCAUGAGUGUAAUUUUACAUGGGCUACGUCCCGUGCCUAUAAAUAGAUGAAUAGUGCUCCAGCACUGUUCACACUGACUUGGCAUUUGCUUUUGCAUCACGCUUGUACUCUUUACCUUCCCUCAAGUCGAAGGUACAUUUGCAAUAUGAUAUCAUUUUUAUUUCUUCAUAGUAAUAAAAUAGAAAUGAUUCAGUAAUA
rnacentral:lncRNA from 1 species